GUCUAUGCUCCGAGUGAUCAAUU
rnacentral:snRNA from 1 species